GGGGAUUAGCUCAAUUGGAGCAGAAGCGCUUGCAUGGCAUGCAAGAGGUCGUCAGUUCGACUCCGAUAUCCUCCA
rnacentral:tRNA from 1 species